GACGUAGGAGGCGAGCGUUGUCCGGAUUCAUUGGGCGUAAAGAGCGCGCAGGCGGCUUGGUAAGUCGGAUGUGAAAUCCCGAGGCUCAACCUCGGGUCUGCAUCCGAUACUGCCCGGCUAGAGGUAGGUAGGGGAGAUCGGAAUUCCUGGUGUAGCGGUGAAAUGCGCAGAUAUCAGGAGGAACACCGGUGGCGAAGGCGGUCUGCUGGCGAGUACCUGACACUGAGGCACGAAGGCCAGGGGAGCAAACGGG
rnacentral:rRNA from 1 species